rnacentral:rRNA from 1 species
AGUGAACGCUGGCGGUAGGCCUAACACAUGCAAGUCGAACGGCAGCACAGUAAGAGCUUGCUCUUACGGGUGGCGAGUGGCGGACGGGUGAGGAAUACAUCGGAAUCUACUUUUUCGUGGGGGAUAACGUAGGGAAACUUACGCUAAUACCGCAUACGACCUACGGGUGAAAGCAGGGGAUCUUCGGACCUUGCGCGAUUGAAUGAGCCGAUGUCGGAUUAGCUAGUUGGCGGGGUAAAGGCCAACCAAGGCGACGAUCCGUAGCUGGUCUGAGAGGAUGAUCAGCCACACUGGAGCUGAGACACGGUCCAGACUCCUACGGGAGGCAGCAGUGGGGAAUAUUGGACAAUGGGCGCAAUCCUGAUCCAGCCAUACCGCGUGGGUGAAGAAGGCCUUCGGGUUGUAAAGCCCUUUUGUUGGGAAAGAAAAGCAGCAGGUUAAUACCCCGCUGUUCUGACGGUACCCAAAGAAUAAGCACCGGCUAACUUCGUG